rnacentral:rRNA from 1 species
GCACAUUCAAUUUUCUGCCACCGAAUACAUUAGCAUGGGAUAAUGGAAUAGGACCCUGUCCUCCUAUUUUCAGUUGGUUUUGGCAGCGCGAGGACUAUUAUAAUGAUUAAUAGGGAUAGUUGCCGGCAUUAAUAUUUAAUUGUCAGAGGUGAAAUUCUUGGAUUUAUGAAAGAUUAACUUCUGCGAAAGCAUCUGCCAAGGAUGUUUUCAUUAAUCAAGAACGAAAGUUAGGGGAUCGAAGACGAUACAAAACACCACCAUCGGCGCGGUCGUCCUUGGCGCGUUCGUGUUCACGCACGGGCGCGCGAGGGCGGGUUAGCCCGAUGGCACCGGUGAAUGACUCCCUAACAGCUUGUGAUACCGUCGUAGUCUUAACCAUAAACGAUGCCGACCAGCGAUUAGGAUACGUUGAAUACAAAA